rnacentral:rRNA from 1 species
CCUACGGGAGGCUGCAGUGGGGAAUUUUGGACAAUGGGGGCAACCCUGAUCCAGCCAUGCCGCGUGAGUGAAGAAGGCCUUCGGGUUGUAAAGCUCUUUCGGCCGGAACGAAAUCGCAGCGUCUAAUAAGCGCUGUGGAUGACGGUACCGGAAUAAGAAGCACCGGCUAACUACGUGCCAGCAGCCGCGGUAAUACGUAGGGUGCGAGCGUUAAUCGGAAUUACUGGGCGUAAAGCGUGCGCAGGCGGUUUGUUAAGCCAGAUGUGAAAGCCCCGGGCUCAACCUGGGAACUGCGUUUGGGACUGGCAAGCUAGAGUACGGCAGAGGGGGGUGGAAUUCCACGUGUAGCAGUGAAAUGCGUAGAGAUGUGGAGGAACACCGAUGGCGAAGGCAGCCCCCUGGGCCGAUACUGACGCUCAGGCACGAAAGCGUGGGGAGCA